UCCUGACACUCCUGGGCCAGCACAAGAGCCAAUUCAACAGGAGUCUCCUGGAUCCCCCAGCUGCUCUAUUUCCCUCAUCCAGAUGCCUUGAUUCCCCCCCAGUUCCUGCUCACUUUGGAGCUGGGCCUGAGCACU